UAAAGCUUUUUGAAUCUUGAAUUACAUUUCAUGUUUGUGACAUUUUCCCAGAAAAAUGUUUUAUCAGAUACUUUACUUUUGUGUAUCAACUUUGUUACUUGUACUCCACGAUAGACAAAAGUGCUGCAAUUUUAUUAAGAAACAACAUUAUUUUUUUGUGCAUAUUAUUAUUAAAAUCAUCAAGUGGGAAGAUAUGUCUUUAUUUUUUGUUUUAUAUUUUAUGCAUCUAUAUUUUUAAUUCCUCUUUACCAUUUGCUUUCUUAAUUACUUCAGUAAGAUUUAAAACAUACUUCUGAUAGUGAUGAAGUGGUACUUUGUGAGGGGUAUUUUUGCGUACUUGCAUUUAUACGUAAACACUAAAUACGUAAACUACUGCUAUACUUAGUCUGUCUUACUGUUACUUUUCAAUUCACGGUUUAAUUUAUUACAGCCUCAUUUGACCCUUCGCUUCAAACCUAUUUGAAACUAUGACUGGUAAAAGGUGGAGGCGGAACUCAAGCAUCACUUAGUCUUUAAAUCUGAAUCACAACACUAAACUAAUGUGAGAAUAUAUUGCCUUUACUAUGUGAAGACCAGUCUCCUCCUUAGGCGCAGGCAGCAUAUGCACAUCUCUUAUAGUCAGCCUAGGGCCCAUUUGGGAAAUAAUGAUUAAUACUGCAAACGUGCUGGAUUUCUACACAUCAAUAGAACAACAACAACAAAAAAAAAAAAUCAGUCAGUAUGUGUUCAACCUUCUCAGCACGUGACUGAUGAACAACUCUAUUAUAAUCAUCUCAAAUCACACUAGGAUACUUUCCCCCAGUGUCAGAUAAUGAAGCUGAUUUAGUCACACUAUGCCGAGGUAGUUCUUAGAACACCGAAGGUCAAAACAGGUUUAAUCUGAGCGCAGAACUUGGGAGUGUGGAAGAUCAGUAGGGUUACAUAUUGUAUCAGUGUAAUUUAAUAGGAUUGUUAAGACAGGUACAGCAGGAAUAAAAAUAAAUAAGUACAGUGUGGGUUAAUACGGCGUAAAGAACACAAGUUCUUCAGUUCAGAGGACUCCUGCAAUAAAAAUGAAUUUAGUAUGUUUUUUUUUUUUUAAA